GGGGCUGUAGCUCAGUGGUAGAGCGUCUGCUUUGCAUGCAGAAGGCCCAGGGUUCAAACCCCUGCUGCUCCA